GGGGAAUAUUGCUCAAUGGGGGAAACCCUGACGCAGCGACGCCGUGUGAGGGAAGAAGGCUUUCUGGUCGUAAACCUCUGUCGGGAAGGAAGAACCCCCCAGGUCCGAAUAGGGCCUGGGGCUGACGGUACUUGCAAAGGAAGCACCGGCUAACUCCGUGCCAGCAGCCGCGGUAAUACGGAGGGUGCAAGCGUUAAUCGGAAUCACUGGGCGUAAAGCGCGCGUAGGCGGCUUUUUAAGUCGGACGUGAAAGCCCUCGGCUCAACCGGGGAAUUGCGUUCGAAACUGGGAGGCUUGAGUCCUGGAGAGGGUGGCGGAAUUUCCUGUGUAGCGGUGAAAUGCGUAGAUAUAUGAAGGUACACCAGUGGCGGAGGCGACCACCUGGACUGAUACUGACACUGAGGUGCGAAAGCGUGGGGAGCAAACA
rnacentral:rRNA from 1 species